GUGCCAGCAGCCGCGGUAAUACGGGGGGGGCAAGCGUUGUUCGGAAUUACUGGGCGUAAAGGGCGCGUAGGCGGUUGGAUAAGUCAGCUGUGAAAACCACGGGCUUAACUCGUGGCCUGCAGUUGAGACUGUCUGGCUUGAGUGUGGGAGAGGAGAGUGGAAUUCCUGGUGUAGCGGUGAAAUGCGUAGAUAUCAGGAGGAACACCGGUGGCGAAGGCGGCUCUCUGGACCACAACUGACGCUGAGGCGCGAAAGCUAGGGGAGCAAACAGGAUUAGAAACCCCCGUAGUCC
rnacentral:rRNA from 1 species